GAAAAGGAAAAGAAGGUGAGGAGCAGCACGUAUUGGAGUCUUGGUAGGGAAAAGAAGGAAGAUAGCAGGAAAGGAGAUUUUUUUUGGAAAGAAGACUUUUAGCACGCUGAGUGUAGAGGAGGAAAUUGGGAAGAUUUUUGGAGGUCGUCUUGAGGGGAAGUAUAGAGAGAGGGACUGACAGCACACAUCCUUCUCGUUUGAAGCUGAGCAAUUCUCCUCAAAGAUUGGUUCUUCCAGGUAUGGUCAUGUGAAAUUUGCAUUCUCUCAUCUCUAUAUGAUCCUAAAUAUUAUUUUGCAAGUCCCGGUGUUAUCUUAUUGAUUGUUGUGGAGAUUUAGGACUGAUCGUCUCUCUUGCUGAAUAUAUUUAAACAUGAGCAUGCUCUGUUUUUGGUUUCUAUUUUUAAUCUUUCUAAUCUCUGUUAUUAAUGGCUGAUGUAUGGGAUUGUCGUUGAUAUUGAUAUCCAAGACCCGUUCUCUUAUUCUCUGGAGUCCCUACCUAUUUCUUUUUAAGCCCUUUUGAAAACAAUGAAUUGUGGCUUGCCUAUUCACCCGUCUUUAUCUCUCCUGCCUUCUUUUGGAUUAUAUUUUCUUGUCUUCUGCUUCUAUGUGUUUAUUUCUCUUCCCUCCUUUGGCGUUUGGGCUACGGAGACCACGAGGGCAUUGAGUAUUUCAUGAAAGGUAGAAACUUUACGAAGGCUGUGUAGAAUGUGGGCUGUUUGUAGGGUUGGCACAUGAUAACAGAUUGUUGAGUCAGAUUGGGUAUUUCCUCUUCAAGGCAAGAAAGUCGUUAAACCGGGUUCUGGAUGUGAUUUAGUUGGAUGCAGAAGUUGCUUCAAUUUUUGGGGCUCUCUGUUUGUGGUAUUCUGGGCUGCAAUCCUAACGGGAUCAGUACAACACCUCUUUUCACUGCUACUGUCGCUUGUGUUCCAACAGAAGUGCACGCUGAAGAUAUUGAUGAAGUUGAGUUUAAAAUAUCUCCAGGAUCACCCUUUUGUUGCUGCUACUAGAUCCUAUUAUAGUGAACCUUGCUUGCUUCACGGUGUGGGAUAGAUGCUAUCUAAAGGGACGGUAUAACUGAAGAAUAAAUGCUGAAGUGCACAGGAGUAGUAUAACAGGGGCAGUUGCAACUCUGAAACAGAGAAUGCUGUUUGUCAUGAAGCUGAAGCUUUUUUUUUUUUGGAGACCUUUUCUCUGAGGGUGGUCGGUCUGUAAGAUUUACAGAUGGAUGCGUUCGAGCCCCUGUUUCAGUCAAUCCGACUUCCAAUUACUGCAAUAUGCUAAUUUAAGCUGCUUCAGAAGUAUUGUGAUUUCUAAAAGACUCUGCCUUUUCUCUAGAAUGGCACACCUCAGUUUACGAGGAUGGUUGUAAAAAGCUUAGUUGGAAGCACAUGGGUAUUCUGCUUUCCAUACUCAAUUGUCAGGGUUGCUAUUCUGAAGACAGGAUUUCUGACAACAUUACAAGUUUACAUGAGCAGAGGAAGAAUGGAUUUUUUAGGAAUAUGGUCUGGCUUAAGUUGGCCAAUAUUUAAGUUAUUGAAACUUGACAGCAUCAUGCUGCGCACUUCCACUGCUUAGGACUCUUUUUUUUUUACCCAACUCAAAUGGUUGCAGACUUGCUGGCCUUAUGGUUCCGAAGAUGAGUGCCUGGGAAAGCCUUUUGAUAUUGAUGGUUCGAACUAUGACUAUUCAGCGAGCAGAAAAUUUUAAAACAGCAGUACUGUAAGGCCGACGAUCAUUAUAUUCUAUUUUGGGGAACUUGUAACUCAUUAUGGGUAGUCAUUGAAUACCCCCUUUAGGGAUACAUUCAUUCAAAGUGAACAUGGACCAGAAAAAUUCCAAAGUGAGUAUAAUGACAAGUAUUGUGAGGCACCUCUAUGAUCAGCAAAAGCUAGAAACUUUUGGGAGUUAUAAGAAUUCAUUCGAUUGUUAUGAAAAAAAUUCUCAUGGGAAGACUGAAAUUGAGAAACAAGAGCAUGAAUCUGACCUUGAGAUUAACAGUUACGAAGCUGUUAGUUCGACCGAAACGGAAAUCAAGUGCCUAAAUUAUGAUUGUCUCUUCCAGUGAUUUAUCACUACAGAUGCAAACAAUUCAAAAUAACUAAGUUCUGUAGUUUCAAUUUCAAGAAGCUCAACAGUUGGGGUUGGAAUACAUAAAAAAGGUGAUGCAACAAGAAACUUCUCAUGGAAUCAUUCUUGUGACACUACCGAUGAGGAGCUCAUAUCAGUUGCAAUGGAAAACUAUCAACAUUCAGAGCUUCAGCAUGGUUCUGAAAGGCUUUUUUAUACCAGAAAAGCAACUUCUCUAACUUCUCAGGAAAGGCUACGUCGGACUUGUGUGUUAAGAUGGAAUUAUACAAAUAUAAAAUUAGCUUAUGCUUUGCAAAACGGACUGGGGGCAGAACUUUAAUAGUAGAACCAGAAUUUGUGAGAGAUGAAGGUAGACAUUGAUCAAGGAAGGUCUAAACAAGGCAGUAGAAAUGAAGUCAUUGUUAUUUCUAAGCGUUUAUAUUGAGAGUCAAUAUGCAGAGACUGGCUGAAUUGGGUCCGGCAAGCAUCUAAUGCUACUGGAGGUGAGAGUGAUGAAUGCAGGGUUCCCCCUCAAAUGGGUCCUACCAUACUGCAUUGCUGGAAUAUUCCACCUUAUUCUUCACAAGUUUUCUUUUUCAUACUCCAAGAGUCUCAAAAGGGAGAAGAAAGCGAUGCUGAUAAGAAUCCAGAAUUAAAUGAGGAGCUACAGGGUGCAUCAGGGGUUUUGUUGGAGAGUCAAGCCACUGCCAGUAGAAGUGAACAAGAGAAAGAACUGACAAUCGUUGUCCAGUAGAAAGCAUGGGAAAUCCAUGAUUCUGGUGUUUUAGUUGAUAUGGAUCUCUAAUUAACUGAGGGAUCUCAUUAUUCUGCCCAAAACAAGAUGCCAACAAGCUCACCAAUAACACGUGACAGUGCUCGCAAUGAUCCUCUUGAAUAAGGCUCCCCUACUUUCGUUUUUACCAUCAGGCCUGCUGACAAUAUUAGAAAUUUUAAGGUUGAUUGCAAAUGCGUUCACUCUGCCUGUUCGUUGGCUUCAUGAUAACUUCUGAAUCAGAAGCCCAAGUAGUGCAGAGGGACCGCUUCAUCUAUCAUUGGCCUUUGCUCUUGAGGCUCAUAAAAGGCACUCUAGAAGAGGUUGCUGCAUCGUCUGUUGCACCGCUAAGAUACCAUGAAUCUGACCACUCGGUUUGCAUCCAUUCUGGAUGUGAUUCCCUUGAAACCAGGUGCUGACAACUCAGCCCAAAGAUUCUUUAAUUUCUGAUCAAUUAAAUGAUAGAAUGUUGUUGGAUUCAUUAGCUUGCAAGAAACAAUCUGUUAUCUCUGAGGACUACAUUACUGAUAAACCCGAGGGGUCAAAGGUAAAAGGUCAUGCAUUAACUAGUCAUAUUCAUUUGAAGAUUUGUGUAGUAAUGCUACUUUCUACCAAGAAGACAUUGUACUUGUUGAAAUGGGCUCAGAAAAUUGGGGAUUACUGGAUGGUGAUGUGCUGGCACGAGUCUUCCAUUUUCUGAAAACUGAUGUAAAAUCUCUUGUUUUUUAGCUGCUUUGACUUGUAGACAUCGGAGAGCUACAGCAAGGUUCUUCAAGGGUGUUCCCAGGCAGGUUGAUUUGUCAUCUGUUAGCUCUCUCUCUACACUGACUCUACAAUUUGGAGCAUACCAUAGAGUGCAUUGUGUCAGUUUCUGGAUUAUCCAUGGUAGAAAGGCUAAUCAGUUACAAGAUAUAGGCAACAAACUUGACCAGUGGCUCAUGUAUGCAAUGUUUAUAUGCUCGUGCUCAUUAAAUAAUAAAGAAGCUAGAAGGUUGGUAGCAAGUGAGGACCUUUGCCAUCUCACUUUUCCCUCAUUAAAAUCUCAUCCACUUUAAGGCAUACAUAUGGAAUUUAGAUACAUUGAGUUCAGAUUAUCGUUUGAAGUGUCACAAUGAUAUGAGUUGAGGAGUUCUUUCUACCCAAGCGAUGUUCAUUCACUCCAAUGGGUUUAAUCUCAUCCUUAGACUUGGUAUCUCUAAAACUUACCAAUCUCUAUUCCUCCUGUUCUUAUACCAGCACCAAGCAGAUAUUUAGAAUGCAAAAGACAAUCCUCUUCCCGGAAAUGCAGGUUACAAGAAAUGAUAAACUGCCAACAGAAUUGGGCAAGAAUCGAGGCUUGCCACUGCCAGUGACUCUAAUGACGCUGCCGAUUCUGAAUUCAGGUUAAAAGAUUUAAAUUUGAGGGUAAAUAUAGUGUUUCUCAAUUCAACAGAACACACCAGUUGACUCGCUUAGUUUGAUAGAACACAUCAGCAAGUUAGCAUCCAACCAACAUGAAUAAGAAUCAGUGAACUCAUGUUACCUUGAUUGUCCUCACGUUGAUGAUCCCCAAGCAAACCAGAGGUGACAGGUCCAGAAUAUCAGAAGGGAUGGGAUAGCCUUGUGAUGAGAGCAAGAAAAUAACCUGCAGAUCAUUCGAAUGUUCCAAGGUUACUCAUUGACAUAUUUCAGAUUUUCAAGAAUUCCUUCAACGCCAUCAUGCCUGCCAACAAGUAGAAGGAAUUGGAACAACCUCAGACUCAUGAGCAGAAUGUACAUCUGCAAUUUAAUCAAACUGGGAGGACUCCCCAAAAUCUGCAGAAGUUGCACUCUAACAGGUUUUCCUCCAUAUUCCAGAAGUUCCAAAAAGAAAAAAAAAAAACUGAUGGUGAUGAGGAGAGAGAUCGAGAAUUAAAUGAUGGUGUUAUUGUCCAUAAUAUUUUUAUAAUUGAUAACCAAGAUGAUGCUAAAGGGGAUGAUUGUACUGAUAAAAGCGAAACUGCUAGUCUGAUUAGCAAUACGGAGAAACAGGAAACAGGAACCAAGCCAGAAGCUGAUCCUGAAGCCACAAGAAAUGGACCUAUUGCAAAGAUAGUUGUUGAUGGAGUACAAUUUCUGUAUAGCGAGAAAGAAGAGAUGGAAGCUCAAAAGAAACAGGCAGAGGUAUUUCAGUUAUCUCAACAGAUGCAGUUUUUGUAUAGUACAGAAAUUGUUAUGAGCCCUCAAGAUGAGGAAAUUACUGCAUAUCAUCACCAAUAUCCAACUGAGUCUUUCAGAUGCCUAUUGCACAAAGAGAUGAUGAGUGAUCCAGUUGCAAUCGUCUGUAGGCAUAGCUGUGAGAGGAAGUCGAUUCAGGAAAAUUUCUGAAGAGAAGAGAAGACCUGCCCCAUAUGCAGAGAAAGGCUCGGGUCGUGGAGCUUACUCCAAAUCCUUUGCUUUGGAACUCUAUAGAAGAAUAAAAGCAAAAAGGCAUGAACUUAAAAUUCCAAGCUGCUCUUCUUGGAAUCACCCCCAAUGACCACUCUAUACAGAACAAAGCCUAGGAGGAGAUGCAAGUUCUAAUGGGAAGGCCACGCUAUACAGAAAAAGUUGCAGAGGAAGGCCUCAUCUCAAAAUUUGAGAUCUCUACUUCUACAGAUCCAGAAGAGCCACUAGUGUUCAGAAAAGGCCAUCCUAUAAAUUGAGGACAGUCCAAGAUACCAUGUAACAUAUUGUUUGAGAUGUUCAAGAAUCUUAGAUCAGCGAGGUCACAUAAUUCAUGUAGAAUCAGUCCAUGGAGGAGGUUCUCAAAAAUGUCCAGGCACUGAAGCUGUGAGAGAUGGCCAAAGUAUUCGGUUAUACUACCAGUGAGUCUUUUGCUAUGCGGACCCAAGGAAGUCGGGUAAAGACCAAUAAGGCUAAUCAGUUUUGAGAAAGAAGAAAUUGAACUAGACAGAUGAUUGAUGCUUAGAUCCAGAUCAGAAAAGGCUUUGUAGCAUGCCAAGUGAAACUAGUGGUGAGAUCUAAGUUGAUUUAGAGAUUGAAGCAGAAUGGUCCAUCAAACACCUCUUUUUUUAAUAACUAGCAGAUUGCAAAGCUAUCAACAAGGGUCUUUUCAUGCAAGUAUCAACAGCUGAAUCAUUAGCACCUUCAUGCUUCCAAACUCUACUUCUAGCAUGGCCAUCUUGACGCACACCUCUUCCUCCAUUUUCUUUUUUGAGAAUUCACAGUUUUGAAUUGAUCUUUCAAACCCUUUUUAACUGAAUAAAUUUAGCUUUGAAGAUUCAUCAAAACAACUUUAGUUUUCUUUAAAAGUUCCUUAGGAGCUUCUAGGUAUAAAAUCCCAACUUUAACAUGCUAUUCGCUGCCACUUUCCUUCGGGCAUGCACUUUCAUUGUUUUAUUCGAUUUUCAACUGAUUUUCCUGAUUUUUCUCAAUUUUUUCUCAAGCAUGAAUAAACUUCAUAAUUCCAAAUCAUGGAAUUUAUGGAAUUAACUCAUGCAAAAUUAAUUAGGGCUUUGGCGGGGGCCCGACAUUCAUGAUACCUUCUUCAAUAUUGUUUGCUUGAUAUGUUGAUUUUUGAUUCUUCUUGAUGAUAUACAUGAAUUUGUUUCGUAUUUAUUGUUGAGAUGCUCUUGAUUCCCAUAGAGGAGUACUAGCUUGCUAUCCAGGUACGCUCUCUUCUCAUCUAUUUUUUUUUAGAACUCUAUGGACUUGUAGGCCAUUGAUGACUAUAUCCAUAUUUGACGUGAUUCUUGGAUGUCUUGAUAUAUGCCUGAUUUGCUUGGAUAAAACAAAUGUUGUGUGCUACAAUUUUAUAAUAACUCUGAUGUUUUAUGAUAGCGCUUGAGAAGCGGUCCAGGUACGCAUCCUAUCCUUCCUU
rnacentral:lncRNA from 1 species